rnacentral:rRNA from 1 species
CACGUAGGGGACGGGCGUUGUCCGGAUUCAUUGGGCGUAAAGCGCGCGUAAGCGGCUCGGAAAGUCGGUCGUGAAAUGCCGGGGCUCAACCCCGGGACUGCGUCCGAUACUCUCGAGCUGGAGGCAGGUAGGGGAGAUCGGAAUUCCUGGUGUAGCGGUGAAAUGCGCAGAUAUCAGGAGGAACACCGGUGGCGAAGGCGGGUCUCUGGGCCGAUACUGACGCUGAGGAGCGAAAGCGUGGGGAGCGAACAGG